rnacentral:pre_miRNA from 1 species
AUAGUACUCCCUCCGUCCGAAAAUACUUGUCAUCAAAAUGGACAAAAAAAGAUGUAUAUAGAACUAAAAUACAUCUAGAUACAUCCUUUUUAUAUAUUUUGAUGACAAGUAUUUCCGGACGAAGGGAGUAGUAU